CAUCCCUUCACGGCUUCACCUAAGAAAAGAGAUCGUGAUCCCCUUGACAGUUCGGUCCGUCCCUAUUCAUCGCGCAGCGAUUGCCAGGCUCCCAGGCUCCCAGCCCUAGGUCGCCGAUAACGACACGCCUUCAGGGGGUCUAUCGUCACGCCCGUCUUUGGUCAAUUGCUCUCCGACUCUAGGCGCUGCACACAGUACGCGGACGGACGCUCAUCACGGACUCGACCAUCAGGAUCAGGGUUGUGUGUUAUCAUAACGUCGACAAACAGGAACUAUGCAUCAGGAAGAAGGCUGCGGAUAAAUUGAUACAAUCACAACACGGACAUAUGCAUACAUAUUUCAGGGGUACUACUGAUGCUUCCACUACUUUGAUAAACCCAGAUGAUGAGUUGCUGAACAGACUAACGGGGAUUGGGAGUUCGAUCAGCAAAAAGAAAAUGUUGACAAUUUGAUGAAAGUGAUUGUCAAGAAGAAAUUCGAGAAGCUGAGAAGGCUUUCCAAAUUAAGUAUAAUUUUUUUGGUUGACAUGAUGAUCACUUCUUUGAAGGAUAGAUUUAAAGAACUCAUGAUGUUUACAGAUAUAUUUGGUUUUUAGGAGUUCGGGCACCCUUAAGUCAUUAAUUGAUAAUGAACUUGAAGAGUGUUGCACAAAUUUGCAGAAACAUUCUCCCGCUUGCUGGUUCAUUUGAUGUUGAGGACAACUAUGACUCAAGAGACGUUAAAUGGUUUGGCUACAUUAUGCAUCGAGAAGAAAUAAUUGGAUGAGAUUGACAUCGACCCCACAUGAGUGACCUUGCAUCGAGGAAUGUUAGAGGAACAUUUUAAGGUAAUAUGUAUAAAUUAUUUAAUACACAUACUGAUUAUGGAUGAAUUUAAGUGUUUUUGGUAAAUUUUCAUAUAAACAUAAUUCAUUUUGUUACUAUGAUAUAUUUAUUAAGGGCCCCGAAUUUCAUUUUCGCCCCGGCCCCCCGAAACCUCACGACCGGCCCUGCGUGCCAGGCAAUUUGGUCCCAUUCUUGGCCGUAGCAACCUGAUCGGCUCACGAGGGUACGCCUCCAGCGCCAAUGGCGAUUCCCACGCAGAGGUUAACCGGCAGCAUCCGGCGGCGCUGGAGACAAGCAAACGGCACCUAUACGUCGUGCUGGAUGACCACAAGGACAGCUACGGCAUCCACAAACUGGACAUGGACUACGACAAGGACGAUGACCUGGACGGCGGCCAGGCAAUCUCUCCGCAACGCCUUCCAGUUCUUCCGGUCGUCAGCGUGGCACUCACAACGUUCUGCGGAUUUACUCAGUUCGCCGCGGCAGGCAGCAGCAUCGUCGUCAUAGGUUGUAAGCCAAACCCAGAAGAUUUGUGGCCAGACGAAGUCCGCGUCCUCAUCUACGACACCAAGAAGGCAGAGAUGGUCGUCUCGCACCAGCUCUUUCAGCACAGCGAGCGGCGAGUGGCCGCUGCCAGUCAUCGGCCACGCCCACUAUGACAGCCAGCUGGAUGCGUGGCCUCCAUGCCCGUGCAAGCUACGAUGGUCCUCGCUUCCUAGACGGACACCUCUGCGCCGGCCACAUCGCGUCAGACCCAACGGAGUGGGAGGUCGGCGAGGAUAAGCUCUUCUGCGGCGAAGAGGACAGCGCAGCAGGCUGGAGGCACGUCGACGCCAAGCUCGUGCCUACGGAGCCGGGUGUAGGGGGCAACGAGUAUUGCCUCAUGGAGCGCCUGCGACAGGAGGGAGACGACCAAGGAUGCUUGGGGGACGGCGACAAGUGGCUGUUGCGGCUUACCGUUUUCCGUGUGGCGCGUGGCCACCAUGGUGAGCCCGUGGUCACCGCUCGCCACCCGGCUUGCUGCUACACAAUGUCCAGAUACAACAAGUACUUUGACGCUCAAGCAUUCUGGAUCUAGUUCUCCAGCUAGGUAGGUGUGGUUUCAAAUUAAAUCUGGUUCGCGAAAUACAAAUUUUAUAUUGUUGCCAAAUAAAUUGUAUAUGCUACUCUAGGAUACAUUCAGUGUUCUUCCAGCAGUGUUUCAGGUUCAGGGAUGUGACUGUAGCCACAGCCUCUUGUUCUCAUCAGAUCAUCAGCUACCCAUGCAUCCUCAGGCUCUAGCUAAUACUGUAUUU